GUGGCUCAGUGGUAUAGCACUUGCCUGACAUGCAUGAGGCCCUGGGUUCAAUUCCUCAGC
rnacentral:tRNA from 1 species